GACGAACGCUGGCGGCGUGCUUAACACAUGCAAGUCGAACGGAAAGGCCCUGCGUUUGUGGGGUGCUCGAGUGGCGAACGGGUGAGUAACACGUGAGUAACCUGCCCUUGACUUUGGGAUAACCUCAGGAAACUGGGGCUAAUACCGGAUAGGAGCUGCUGCUGCAUGGUGGGGGGUGGAAAGUUUCGGCGGUUGGGGUUGGACUCGCGGCUUAUCAGCUUGUUGGUGGGGUAGUGGCUUACCAAGGAUUUGACGGGAAGCCGGCCUGAGAGGGUGAACGGCCACAUUGGGACUGAGGUACGGCGCAGACUCCUACGGGAGGCAGCAGUGGGGAGUAUUACACAAUGGGCGGAAGCCUGAUGCAGCGACGCCGCGUGCGGGAUGACGGCCUUCGGGUUGAAAACCGCUUUCGCCUGUGACGAAGCGUGAGUGACGGUAAUGGGUAAAGAAGCACCGGCUAACUACGUG
rnacentral:rRNA from 1 species